UUUGUCAUGAUAAUGCAAUAUGAUUGAUAACUUUUUUUGGCUAAGAGAUAUGAUGUGAUAAUUAGAUGAUAUGAUGAUGGACAAGAAGGUUUUGGUCUUUGCCUAUAAGUUUGAUGGAGGUUUUGCUAUGACGGAAAGUAGGAAGUGCGAGAGAAAAAGUCAGAAGUUAAAAGGAAGACAGAGACAGAGAAGUUGCCUAUCCAACAUUGUGUAAGGAAACAAGAGGAUCAGCACUUCCUAUGAUAAAACUUUUAGAUGGAUGGCAAACUCUUAAGGAAAAUUUACUGCCGUUGACAUUGAGCUAUUGCAAAGAGAGAGGGGAAAAAAAUGGGAAAGUAAGAAAAAGAGAGAAAAAUAAGUUAGAUAAGGUAGAGGGAAAAGAAAAUAAUGAAGAGCAGCAAGAAAAAUAGGAGUCAACAAA